AAGCAACUCAAGGAAGGCUUUUUCAAAAUCAACCUCUUCUCCAUGGAACUGUAGCCCUGUAUUAGGGGUUAGGGGUGUGCACCAGGGUAGGGCUAGGGUUAGAAAAAUGAGACGCCCUGGCAUGAAUUUGUUGGUUGGUAUGUGCUUAGAAUGGGCAGAAAGGAUGAGCAGUGCAGAAAGAGCUACUCAAGGAAGGCCU